UGGGGAAUCUUGGACAAUGGGGGCAACCCUGAUCCAGCGACGCCGCGUGGGUGGUAAGGCCUUCGGGUUGUAAAGCCCUUUCAGGAGGGAAGAAGCGAAAGUGACGGUACCUCCAGAAGAAGGCCCGGCCAACUACGUGCCAGCAGCCGCGGUAAUACGUAGGGGCCUAGCGUUGUCCGGAAUUAUUGGGCGUAAAGAGCUCGUAGGCGGCCCACCAAGUCGGAUGUGAAAUCUCAAGGCUUAACCUUGAAAUUGCAUCCGAUACUGAUGGGCUUGAGGCAGGUAGGGGAAGGUGGAAUUCCUGGUGUAGCGGUGAAAUGCGCAGAUAUCAGGAGGAACACCGGUGGCGAAGGCGGCCUUCUGGGCCUGUACUGACGCUGAGGAGCGAAAGCGUGGGGAGCAAACAGGAUUAGAUACCCCCGUAGUCC
rnacentral:rRNA from 1 species